rnacentral:rRNA from 1 species
GAAGAUGGCCAUAUCUGAUGUCAGAGGCUAAGCAGGGUUGGACCUGGUUAGUAUUGGGGUGGGAGACCGCUGGGAAUAGUAGGUGCCACA